rnacentral:rRNA from 1 species
UACGUAGGCAGCAAGCGUUGUUCGGAGUUACUGGGCGUAAAGGUUGUGUAGGCGGUUGGAUAAGUGUGGUGUGAAAUCUCCCGGCUCAACUGGGAGGGUGCGCUACAAACUGUCUGACUCGGGUGUGGGAUGGGUAAGUGGAAUUCCUGGUGUAGCGGUGAAAUGCGUAGAUAUCAGGAGGAACACCGGUGGCGAAGGCGGGUCUCUGGGCAACAACUGACGCUGAGGAGCGAAAGCGUGGGGAGCGAACAGG